CAGCCGCCACGGUAAUACGGAGGAUCCGAGCGUUAUCCGGAAUUAUUGGGUUUAAAGGGUGCGUAGGCGGAUAGAUAAGUCAGUGGUGAAAGACGGUGGCUCAACCAUCGCAGUGCCGUUGAUACUGUUUAUCUUGAAUAUGGAUGAGGUAGGCGGAAUGUGGCAAGUAGCGGUGAAAUGCAUAGAUAUGCCACAGAACACCGAUUGCGAAGGCAGCUUACCAAGGCAAAAUUGACGCUGAGGCACGAAAGCGUGGGGAUCGAACAGGAUUAGAUACCCCUGUAGUCCCUGUCUCUUAUAC
rnacentral:rRNA from 1 species